rnacentral:rRNA from 1 species
UUGGAAAGAUUUUUCGGUUGGGGAGGGGCUCGCGGCCUAUCAGCUUGUUGGUGAGGUAAUGGCUCACCAAGGCGUCGACGGGUAGCCGGCCUGAGAGGGUGACCGGCCACACUGGGACUGAGACACGGCCCAGACUCCUACGGGAGGCAGCAGUGGGGAAUAUUGCACAAUGGGCGGAAGCCUGAUGCAGCAACGCCGCGUGAGGGAUGACGGCCUUCGGGUUGUAAACCUCUUUUAGCAGGGAAGAAGCGAAAGUGACGGUACCUGCAGAAAAAGCGCCGGCUAACUACGUGCCAGCAGCCGCGGUAAUACGUAGGGCGCAAGCGUUAUCCGGAAUUAUUGGGCGUAAAGAGCUCGUAGGCGGUUUGUCGCGUCUGCUGUGAAAUCCCGAGGCUCAACCUCGGGCCUGCAGUGGGUACGGGCAGACUAGAGUGCGGUAGGGGAGAUUGGAAUUCCUGGUGUAGCGGUGGAAUGCGCAGAUAUCAGGAGGAACACCGAUGGCGAAGGCAGAUCUCUGGGCCGUAACUGACGCUGAGGAGCGAAAGGGUGGGGAGCAAACAGGCUUAGAUACCCUGGUAGUCCACCCCGUAAACGUUGGGAACUAGUUGUGGGGUCCAUUCCACGGAUUCCGUGACGCAGCUAACGCAUUAAGUUCCCCGCCUGGGGAGUACGGCCGCAAGGCUAAAACUCAAAGGAAUUGACGGGGACCCGCACAAGCGGCGGAGCAUGCGGAUUAAUUCGAUGCAACGCGAAGAACCUUACCAAGGCUUGACAUAUACGAGAACGGGCCAGAAAUGGUCAACUCUUUGGACACUCGUAAACAGGUGGUGCAUGGUUGUCGUCAGCUCGUGUCGUGAGAUGUUGGGUUAAGUCCCGCAACGAGCGCAACCCUCGUUCUAUGUUGCCAGCACGUAAUGGUGGGAACUCAUGGGAUACUGCCGGGGUCAACUCGGAGGAAGGUGGGGAUGACGUCAAAUCAUCAUGCCCCUUAUGUCUUGGGCUUCACGCAUGCUACAAUGGCCGGUACAAAGGGCUGCAAUACCGUGAGGUGGAGCGAAUCCCAAAAAGCCGGUCCCAGUUCGGAUUGAGGUCUGCAACUCGACCUCAUGAAGUCGGAGUCGCUAGUAAUCGCAGAUCAGCAACGCUGCGGUGAAUACGUUCCCGGGUCUUGUACACACCGCCCGUCAAGUCAUGAAAGUCGGUAACACCUGAAGCCGGUGGCCUAACCCUUGUGGAGGGAGCCGUCGAAGGUG